AGAGUUUGAUCAUGGCUCAGAUUGAACGCUGGCGGCAUGCUUUACACAUGCAAGUCGAGCGGCAGCGCGGGGGCAACCCUGGCGGCGAGCGGCGAACGGGUGAGGAAUACAUCGGAACGUGUCCCGUAGUGGGGGAUAGCUCGGCGAAAGCCGGAUUAAUACCGCAUAUGCUCUACGGAGGAAAGCCGGGGAUCUGGUAACGGACCUGGCGCUAUGGGAGCGGCCGAUGUCCGAUUAGCUAGUUGGUGAGGUAAUGGCUCACCAAGGCGACGAUCGGUAGCUGGUCUGAGAGGAUGAUCAGCCACACUGGGACUGGGACACGGCCCAGACUCCUACGGGAGGCAGCAGUGGGGAAUUUUGGACAAUGGGGGCAACCCUGAUCCAGCCAUGCCGCGUGCGGGAAGAAGGCCUUCGGGUUGUAAACCGCUUUUAGUCGGGAAGAAAAGGGCGAGGCUAAUACCUUCGUCACUUGACGGUACCGGCGGAAUAAGCACCGGCUAACUACGUGCCAGCAGCCGCGGUAAUACGUAGGGUGCGAGCGUUACUCGGAAUUACUGGGCGUAAAGCGUGCGCAGGCGGUUCGUUAAGUUCGUUGUGAAAGCCCCGGGCUCAACCUGGGAAUGGCAUUGGAAACUGGCGGGCUGGAGUAUGGCAGAGGGGGGUGGAAUUCCACGUGUAGCAGUGAAAUGCGUAGAGAUGUGGAGGAACACCGAUGGCGAAGGCAGCCCCCUGGGCCAAUACUGACGCUCAGGCACGAAAGCGUGGGGAGCAAACAGGAUUAGAUACCCCCGUAGUCC
rnacentral:rRNA from 1 species